rnacentral:rRNA from 1 species
CACAGUGUAGCAAUACAUGGGUGGCGACCGGCAAACGGGUGCGGAACACGUACGCAACCUUCCUUCAGGCGGGGAAUAGCCCAGAGAAAUUUGGAUUAAUACCCCAUAAUAUUUUGAGAUGGCAUCAUCUUAUUAUUAAAGCUACGGCACCUGGAGAUGGGUGUGCGGCUGAUUAGGUAGUUGGCGGGGUAAUGGCCCACCAAGCCUACGAUCAGUAGCUGAUGUGAGAGCAUGAUCAGCCACACGGGCACUGAGACACGGGCCCGACUCCUACGGGAGGCAGCAGUAAGGAAUAUUGGUCAAUGGACGCAAGUCUGAACCAGCCAUGCCGCGUGGAGGGUGAAGGUCCUCUGGAUUGUAAACUUCUUUUAUCUGGGACGAAAAAAGGGUUUUCUAACUCGUCUGACGGUACCAGAUGAAUAAGCACCGGCUAACUCCGUGCCAGCAGCCGCGGUAAUACGGAGGGUGCAAGCGUUAUCCGGAUUCACUGGGUUUAAAGGGUGCGUAGGCGGGCAUUUAAGUCAGUGGUGAAAUACCUGAGCUUAACUUGGGAACUGCCAUUGAUACUAUUUGUCUUGAAUGUCGUGGAGGUUAGCGGAAUAUGUCAUGUAGCGGUGAAAUGCUUAGAUAUGACAUAGAACACCUAUUGCGAAGGCAGCUAACUACGCGAAUAUUGACGCUGAGGCACGAAAGCGUGGGGAUCAAACAGGAUUAGAUACCCUGGUAGUCCACGCCCUAAACGAUGAUUACUCGACAUUAGCGAUACACUGUUAGUGUCUGAGCG